ensembl:ncRNA lncRNA:CR45998 long non-coding RNA:CR45998
CCCGUACUCGAAUCAUCAAAAGUGAUGCGUCAAAGUGGCGAGCGGGGCUGGUGAUGAUUCCGCAGCUGAUCCGGGGCAUUAUUGAUCGUCCCGUGUGUCCCGCUGUUGUGAUCCGGUCGCAGCAGGCGAUCCGAUCCUCCGGCUGCAACAAUGGCAUCGUUGUCCCAUAAUCUACACACCACCAUCGGCGGACCUUUUGAAGGUCCUUUGGGCCAAAGUUCUGGCCGUGAUGGCGAACACACACGCCGCCAUAUAGCAGCAUAUGCAAAACACAAUGAGGUUCUUUGAAGCGCAUCGCAUUCCCCUCUUUCAGCUCUUUCAGCUCUACACAAAAGGCGACAAAUUCCCCCUUUUUUGCCAUGUGUGCGUCGUGUUUUCAUUUUUUUUGUCUUUAAUCAGCGGCUGUUGCUUUGAUCACCAUCUCGGGAUCGCCAUCGCCAUUGCCAUUGCCAUCAGCACCACCUGACAAGGUGCUACGUUUAAGUCCCUCCCUGGUUCCUGGCUGCCCAACUAUGUACCUGCGCUCGAAGGUGUGACAAGUCAGCGGAUUUGCGUGUUGCUUCUUGCGAAAUAUUUAAAAUGCAAGAUUAUCGCCCAAAAAGGAUAGCUCGCCGCACUUAAUCCUGCCGCUGCAGCAGGCUCUCCAAUUUCAACCGACUAACUUACACCGAGAAUAUUUAUUGCCGUUUACCCAUAUACUCGAUAUAAAAAAAAGACACAAACGAAGAUCAACCGACCGACCGACCGACCGGCUGAGCGAGCGAUCUUAGCCGGAAUUCUAUUGCCCCCUGUGGCAACAACAACAACUGCAACAAGAACAACAUCAGCGGCAGCAGCGGCAGCAGCACUAACAAUAACAACGUCAACAACAACAGGUUGCCGCCGCCUGAAGUGCUUCGUGGCCCAGACAAACGUUAAGAUUGUAAUAACCAUGUUAAAAGCAAUUUACGUUUAAAGUGCUACCGUGAUACGCCGCCGAUGCGUUUCUUGAUUAAGAACAGAGGGGAUGCUGGAAAAAAAGGAAAGGCAGGGAGGAGACGAGGAGGUCCAGGAACUGGACUUGCAUUUAUUUGGCGGCAAGAAAUGCGCAUACCCGUUACCUGACCAGCAAUAGGCACCUGGUGACCAUGCAACAUCACUGACCUCCGUCAAUCGAGAGCAAUGCAAUUAUGAACCCCGGCUGGAAGAAAUUAAAGAUGCUCGCUCCGCCGGCUGAUGGAUGAGAAAUGCUGCUGCCGACUGGAGAUUGGAUGCUGGAUUCUGGAUGCUGGAGCCUCGGCGCACCUGUUGCGUUUCCCACAGCGAGCGGACGCUUUGGUUUUUCGCAAAAUAAAGAUGAAAAAACACCGGAGAACAGUUGUGCAGCGGAUCCUGAAAUCGGGCAAAAGGAUCAAAGGACGUGACCGUGACUGGGCCGAACCGAUAAUAAAGUUGUGCAUUAAAUGAAAUUUUAAUUGCUUAUCGGCGACCGGCGAUCCGGGAGCCCAUCUGUUGGGAUUAGAGCGGCCGAAUGGCCGACUCGAUUGAUGUCAAGCGAUCGGUCGGUCGGCGCUUUGAAGAUUAUGCCCAAAGUUAUGAGGUUGCGGUAGAGGCUCUGUAUUCCAGGUGCUCCGUUCUCCAGGUGAUCGGAUCGGCCUAUGCGAAAUUAUAUAGCUCAGCAGCGUUGGUAGCGAUGUAGCAGCUUUAACUACGCAGUGCCUGUCGCUUCCUCGCCGUCCUCUUUCUCGUCAUCGUCAUCGUCAUCAUCCUCAUCAUCAUCAUCAUCAUCAUCAUCAUCAUCACCGUCAUCAUCUUCCGCUGGGGCAUCGCAUCAGCUGGCGCUGCUGCUUGUUGCUUGCUGCUUGCUAUUUGCUGCAUGCGGCAGAAGAUGAAACGCGGCGGCACAACUUUGAUGCGGCCAAGAUCAAAGCCGCCGAUUGUUUACAUAAUAGUGGCCUUUGAAACGGAACAAUAGAAUGCCAGGAUCAAAGACACCGACCAGUUUACCCGGUUAGUGCGCUUAAGCGAAAUGAAUGUCCAUGUCCGUCCGCCCGUGAUCUGUUUUUCCUGGCCCCACACCGCAAGAAAAUGUAUGCUUUUUGGGAUCAAUAAAAACCAUUUGAGUAUGCUUUAUCAAAUCAACAAAUACUAACUAUCUAGUUUUUCAGUGAGUACUUGUUUUUAACCAAGUCAGCUAAAAUGUUUAGUUAAUUCAUUUUGGACAAAGGUUUUGUUGCAGUGUAGU